GGCGACUUCCAGAAACGUCGACUCGUGGCCCGUAUUUUACCUCGCAGUAAAAGAAUGUGGCGUGAUCCGAACGUAGUGGGGGUCGCCUUCCAGAAAAAACGAAAAAAAUCGAAAGGCGUUCAGAACUUUUCGAGAAGUCGAACCGUCAACACAUGUGGCGCUUGGCCAUGGAUCGUUGCAUUAGGUUUUCGUAAUCCCCGAAACCCAGACAAACCACUAUGGAAGUGCGGAGGUUCCCUGAUAUCGGCUAGGCAUGUUUUGACCGCAGCACAUUGUGCACAUAUGGAUGGAAUAGAAAACAUACACAAUCAUAAUAUUGCCAUUCUUAGAUUGGUGGAGGAGGUGCCAUUUUCGAGGUACGUAUAUCCCAUUUGUACGAAAGAGCUCCUGCGAAAGAGCAACUUCGUCGGCUAUAACCCCCUUGUUGCUGGAUGGGGAGCAUUAAGAUAUAGUAAGUGAUAUCAAUUUUAUAAUAAAAUUAAACAGUUCCAGUCUUAAAUAUCUUUCUUAUUUUCUUCGUAGGACGACCACGACGUAAUGCAUUAAUGGAAGUACAAAUGCCAGUGAUUAAGAACGCCGAAUGCAAAAUAGCUUAUUCCAAAUUUCCUAAUGCACCUGAUGUCACUGAUGGUAUAAUAUGCGCCGAACGUGCUCAGGGUGGAAAGGAUUCUUAUACGGUAAUUAAGUUACAGAGUUACUACAAACUAUACGGUAUCUGAAGACACGUCAAUUCGAAUUAACAUCAAAUCGACGUCUUAAACAUUAAAAAUAAUAGAUAAACACAAUUUAAUAGUUUUGCCCACUUCUCACACCUCGUUAUGGUAUUUAAUCUAAUUUCCUCCUAAUCUUAGUUUUGCUCAAAAUACAUAUAACAUGUACGUUAUAAAUUGGAGUAUUUCAAUACACAAAUCAAUAGAAGAUUAUUACUGUAUAUAAGUAUAAUUUCAAUACAAUUCGAUCGAUAUAUUUCAGUAUCUUUGAUUAAAAAUUUAACGAUCCUUUCAGGCUGACCGCGGCGGACCACUGCUGAUACAACAUGAAUUAACCUCGUAUUUAAUAGAUUAUAGAUUCCUAUACGACUCUCAGUAAAAAUUUAUCCGCACUCCAGAUAGUUAAAACUUCUGUCGACCGUAUUGAUCCAUCUGCACUCUUCGUAUGACGUCAAUAUCUGUUCAGUGCUGCUGCGCAGGUUUCUUUGUGUUACGUCAAUUCGUUUGUGACCGUUGCGCGAGUAAUGGCGCUUUGCAAUGGUGAUUUGCAGGAAAACAGUGCAGAAUGCUGUGAUUCGUUUCUUGUGGUCGGAGGUUAUGUUUGGUGCCUAUAUUUAUCAAAGAUUUAAUGCACAUUAUGGAGAAAGUGUUUUGUCACGAAGUGUGUUUGAAUGGGCACAAAAGUUCAAAGAAGAUCGCACAAGUGUUAUGAAAAAACAGGUGGACGCUCGUCCACAUCCACGAUGACAACAUUGAACGUGCUCAUGAACUUAUGCUCUAUGGAAUAGACGAGUGACACUGGAUAAUGUGGCAAAUCAUUUGCAAAUCAGCCACGGCUCUGCUUAUGCAAUAGUGCACGACAGAUUUGGGUUUUAAAAAGUUUGUGCGAGAUGGAUGCCGAAAAAGCUGAUGAAAAGGUGAAGACGACGAUGCAUUCGUGGUUCGCAGCUCAGCCCAAAACAUUUUUUAAUGAGAAAAUACGAAGGUCCUUCGGCAAAUGGACAAAGUGUAUACAGAAAUCGAGUGAUUAUGUCAAAAAAUGAUGUAUGUCUUUUUUGACAAUUGCUUAAAAUAAAUUCUAUACCGACAGAGCGGGUAACUUUUUACUCACCCUCGCUGUUAAUCUAGAGGCUGGAGUACAAAGAAGUGGCACAAUGAUGUGGGCUGAUGACAUUUAUAAUUAUCAAGGAAUCACCCCUACAUUCGCUCAGAAUUUUAAUGAAACUGUCCCUUGGGAAGGAAGAACUGAUACCUUGAUAUCACGGUUUGUACAUCCUAUAUAUACGACAAAUUUUAGAACAUUAUAUAACGAAGAACCAGAUCGUCGUGGCCAUGUGAUGUGAAUAAAAGGACUUGAAUUUGAUGAUAUUUUUAUAAUGUUAGAUAACAUAACUAAGUAUCUUCACAGUAAGAUAGGAUGACAUGGUUUACAUGAUCUUAAUGUUGUUCACUUGAGUGAUGAUAUUAUAAGGAAAAGUGUAAUAUCACAGGAUAUUUAUGUUUAGUAACCAGUAAUUCAGAGAUUGGUAUUCAUGGUUACUAUAACGAGGCUGUAGAAACGCACCCUUUCUUCUUUGCAAAUGGUCCUGUAUUUAUGUCUAAGCCGAAACUGGAACCUCUGAAUAAUUUAGAUUUAUUCUUGUUAUUUUCUAAAAUACUUAUCUACAGUAUACCAUAAGGAAUGAUACCGUAUCGCACCUAAUCAAGUGCCUUAAGAAACAUCAACAGGAUAUCACAGUAAUCCCGUAUCGACUGAUAUUUGUAGCCACUACAAUAUCUAUGACACUGGUAGUAAUUAUGAGAACAAUAAUGAUGUGUUCUAUAAGAGGAAAUGAUGAUUAGGAACAAAAACUUACAGGUAAGUCAAAGUAUAUGUUAUUUGCCAUUUGAAAAGAAAGUUACUAACUUGGAAUUUUUUGAUAAAUAAUAAUUGUAUCAUACGUACUUUUGAAUUCGUGCAAGAACAUAUGUAAUUUUGAAGUAGUUAUUAUUAGGAAAUUGUUAGACACGAACAGUAUGCGAAAAGUUAGUAUGCAGUGUAAUAAUUAUCAAUCAAAACACAAGAAUUAAAUUCUUGAGGAAAAAAUUUCCGGAAUUUCUUAUUUACAUGAUUAUAAAGAAAUCCAUAAUAAAAAGGAGCUGCUUUCUAAUACUUCUCUUCCUUGUAAUGCCUGCGUUAAUAAUAACGAGGUUCGACUUUUUGUUUUUAGAGGGAUACUGGAAAAUUUGAAAGUACAGUACCAUUGGGAAGAAAAUCACGAUAUUGAAAACGAUAUUUGCAAGUAAAUUUCCAAAAAAUCUGUUUUCAAAUUUUCGCUUUCUAUUUCACAUUAAAAGAAAGGGAGGGCUGCCUUCUUUUUCUGCAAGACAAAACAAACAUUCUGAAUCUCGUAUCAAUGAAUGAUGUCAAUAAGUUAUUUUUCUUUUCAGAUUGAACAAUAUUCCAGAUUUAUUCAUAAUUUCAUACUACGCGAAGAAUAGACUUUUCAUAGGUAUAUAAAGGAAAUAUUAAGUAUAGGAAAACUCUUUUUCGUUGUAGGUGACAUAUGCUUCACGGUUGAACACAUGUAUUUUUGAACACAUAUAAAUGAAAAAGUACUCUUAUGGAGAAAAAGAAUUGAUACCUUCGAUUGACAUUAGAUAAUGUAUAUAAACUUAUGAACAAUCACUAUCAGUUUGUAUCUUAGGUGCACACGCAGAUUUGUUGGAGUUCUUAUAAAAUGUACUUCCUGUACGAACGUUUUAUUCUUCCAAAUUUUACGAUACUAUGUCUCAUAUAAUAACUAUAUGGAUUAAACGUAAUAUAAAUGAUCCGAAAAUAGACUCGAACGACAUUAAUUGUCUUUCUAUUUAUACCAAUAUCGAAAAUACAAGUAAAGCUGGAGCAAUAGUAUGCAAGAAUGGACUAUUUAUUAUUUUAAACCAAAUCAUAGCAUAUUCAGAAUGCACAGUAUUAUCAUGAAAUGUAAAUGAAUCAGUUGUAAACGAACGAUUUUACUGUAAAAUCGUUGCCUCCUUUUUUUCAUCUGAAAUAUAGCAGCAAUGAGUACAUUCUUUUAAUAUAUAAUAAAACGAGAUAUCUUUAUAAAGUUACAUAUGUCAUCACUGGUAACUGUUAUCUCGUAUGACACCAAAUAUACCGUUAGUAUGGAAUGAUAUUUUUAUGAAGAUAUACUUUAAUGAUAGAUUUUAUGAAUGAAACGUUAUAUAAGAAAAAUUAUCUCUUGUUAUUCUAUGAAGUGUAGUAGCUAAUGAAGAUUAAUUUUACGAAGUAUUAGAGCAAAAGAGAAUUAAAAAAUUAAAAAGAUCUAAAUAAGA